UACGUAGGGUGCAAGCGUUAAUCGGAAUUACUGGGCGUAAAGCGUGCGCAGGCGGUUAUGUAAGACAGAUGUGAAAUCCCCGGGCUUAACCUGGGAACUGCAUUUGUGACUGCAUAGCUAGAGUACGGUAGAGGGGGAUGGAAAUCCGCGUGUAGCAGUGAAAUGCGUAGAUAUGCGGAGGAACACCGAUGGCGAAGGCAAUCCCCUGGACCUGUACUGACGCUCAUGCACGAAAGCGUGGGGAGCAAACAGG
rnacentral:rRNA from 1 species